UUGAGUGCAUUAGAAACUGAUGUUCUCUGCCCACAGAAACAGUACCUCAGAAGCCACAAAACAAGCUUUCACACACAGGUCUGUCAGAAUAUCCCUCCACCUUUUCUGAUGGAUUACCUUUUACAAUAAGGAAAUACAUCGGUCUCUAUGCUCACUCAAUCAGUGGUUCCA
ensembl:misc_RNA